rnacentral:rRNA from 1 species
AUUGAACGCUGGCGGCAGGCCUAACACAUGCAAGUCGAGCGGAGCGGCGGACGGGUACGUAAUGCCUAGGCAUCGGAAUGGUCGUGGGGGAUAACGUCAGGAACCGGGAGCUGAUACCGCAUCCUCUCAGCUGAGCCUAAGUCGGAUUAUCUAGUUGGUGGGGUAAAGGCCUACAAAGGCGACGCUCCCUAACUGGUCUGAGAGGAUGAUCAGUCCCACUGGAACUGAGACACGGUCCAGACUCCUACGGGAGGCAGCAGUGGGAAAUAUUGUACAAGGGGCGAAAGCCUGAUGCAGCCAUGCCGCGUGUGUGAAGAAGGUCUUCGGAUUUUAAAGCACUUUAAGUUGGGAGGCGUUACCAACAGAAUAAGCACCGGCGAACUUCGGGCCAGCAGCCGCGGUAAUAC